UCCGAUUUGUCACCGGCAGUCUCCCAUGAGUCCCCGGCAUUACCCGCUGGCAACAUUGGACAGGGGUUGCGCUCGUUGCGCCACUUAACCCAACAUCUCACGACACGAGCUGACGACAGCCAUGCAGCACCUGUGUCCACGCCCCUUGCGGGGAGGAAUCCAUCUCUGGAAGCCGUCGUGGCAUGUCAAGGGCUGGUAAGGUUCUUCGCGUUGCGUCGAAUUGAACCACAUGCUCCACCGCUUGUGCGGGCCCCCGUCAAUUCCUUUGAGUUUCAGCCUUGCGGCCGUACUCCCCAGGCGGGGCACUUAACGCGUUAGCUGCGGCACCGAAGGGGUCGCUCCCCCCGGCACCUGGUGCCCAUCGUUUACGGCGUGGACUAC
rnacentral:misc_RNA from 1 species